rnacentral:rRNA from 1 species
UACAGAGGGUGCGAGCGUUAAUCGGAAUUACUGGGCGUAAAGCGUGCGUAGACGGCUAUCUAAGUCGGGUGUGAAAGCCCCGGGCUCAACCUGGGAAUUGCAUUCGAGACUGAAUAGCUAGGGUACGGUAGAGGGAAGUGGAAUUUCCGGUGUAGCAGUGAAAUGCGUAGAUAUCGGAAGGAACAUCAGUGGCGAAAGCGACUUCCUGGACCAGUACCGACGUUCAGGCACGAAAGCGUGGGGAGCAAACAGG